rnacentral:rRNA from 1 species
GUGAGGAAUAUUGCACAAUGGGCGGAAGCCUGNUCCAGCCAUGCCGCGUGGACGACGAAGGCCUUCGGGUCGUAAAGUCCUUUUCUGAGAGAAGAAGAUCCCGUGGAGGAAAUGCUGCGGGAGUGACGGUACCUCAGGAAUAAGCCACGGCAAACUCCGUGCCAGCAGCCGCGGUAAUACGGAGGUGGCUAGCGUUGUUCGGAAUGACUGGGCGUAAAGGGGGCGCAGGCGGCCUGGCAAGUCUGAAGUGUAAGCCCGGGGCUUAACCUCGGGACUGCUUUGGAUACUGCUAGGCUUGAGUACGGAAGAGGAAGGCGGAAUUCCAGGUGUAGCGGUGAAAUGCGUAGAUAUCUGGAGGAACACCCGUGGCGAAAGCGGCCUUCUGGUCCGAUACUGACGCUGAGGCCCGAAAGCGUGGGGAGCAAACAGGAUUAGAUACCCUGGUAGUCCACGCCGUAAACGUUGUGCGCUAGGUGUAGGAGGUAUUCGACCCCUUCUGUGCCGCAGCUAACGCAUUAAGCGCACCGCCUGGGGAGUACGGCCGCAAGGCUGAACUCAAAGGAAUUGACGGGGGCCCGCACAAGCGGUGGAGCAUGUGGUUUAAUUCGAGGCAACGCGAAAACCUUACCAAGCUUGACAUNCCGGGACCGCCUGUGAAGCAGGUUUCCCUUNGGGACCCGGGGACAGGUGUUCAUGGNUGUCNUCAGCUUGNGUCGNGAAUUGUUGGGUAAGNCCCCAACGAGCCCACC